rnacentral:lncRNA from 1 species
GCGGUUUCCGCCUCGCCCGGUAGCGACCCUGGGAGAGCUUGGGGAGCGGAGGUGGGGAGAGUCAGAUCAGUCGGUGUAGCCAAUCAGAGUGUAGUUUAUAUAGUCGAGUGCCGUUUGAUUGGUUGGUGAUGACCUCAUGCUGCAGCAGCGGGCGGGGCCGGAGCUGUCCGGGGAGGCUGGUGCAGAGGGAGAAAGGGAGAAGUGGUGAUGGCGACGGUUGCUGCGGCGGUCGCUGUGAGAUCUAAACAGUGGCGAUGGGGACCUCAAGCCUCUUCCUUGACCGGUUCCUCCUGGCCCCGCGCGAGGCCUAAAUAGCCGUAGUAGUAUUGUCCGGAUUAUAAUG